rnacentral:rRNA from 1 species
GGGUCAGUAGGUUGGUCGUGCCACCGGUACGUACUGGUCUCACUGAUUCCUCCUUCCUGAAGAAACGUAAUGCCAUUAAUUUGGUGUUGCGGGGAAACAGGACUGUUACUUUGAAAAAAUUAGAGUGUUUAAAGCAAGCUAACGCUUGAAUACAUUAGCAUGGAAUAAUGUAAUAGGACGAUCGAUCCUAUUUUGUUGGUUUCUAGGAUUGACGUA